AGUGGAGGAGGUGACCCGAAGCCUACCUGCAAGAGCUUUUUCGUACCUCUUAAUAUACCUUAGAAUUCUUGAGCUCUGACAGCUGUGGACACACCACAUCAGUCCACCCUGGUCAUAAUAAACCUAGGCAUUCCUUUCGACCUGAUACCAAUUGUUCAGUAGCUGGUUUUCAUUAGGUGGGCUUUGCAGAAGCCAGUCUUUCUAGAAAUGAAGCGUAAUCUGAACACUAAGAGUCCCAGCCCAAUGAGCUACACCAGCUUGUGUUAGGGCAUUUCAAACUGGAACCAGCGAUCCACAGGGCUGGAGAGACCUAGGAUCCUUUUGUUGGUGUUGAAUCAGGUAAGAAAACACACCCAAGUGCAGUCAGGUUUGGACAGUGAACCCUGAAGUACCAGUGACUUGAUAGUAACAUAAACUGCCUGAAGUCUUUGAGGUAAGUAGUAGAUAGUUUAUGAAUAACCUCAGAGUCAUGCCACAGAUUUGGAAAGUGCAGAGUUAGUAUGAUUAAUUUGGUCUAUUUUAAUUGUAUUACAUAUGAUAUAGUCAAUAUGGAAACGAAUCCGACUAGGAACCAUGAGGUUGUGAGUUUGAUCCCUGGCCUCACUCAGUGGGUUAAGGAUCCAGUGUUGCCGUGAGCUGUGGUGUAGGUCGCGGACACGGCUCGGAUCUGGCAUUGCUAUCUAUGGCUGUGGCUGUGGCUGGCAGCAACAGUUCCAAUUCUAUCCCUAGCUUGGGAACCUCCAUAUGCUGAGGGGGCAGCCCUAAAAAGACAAA
ensembl:lncRNA